rnacentral:rRNA from 1 species
GACGAACGCUGGCGGCGUGCCUAAUACAUGCAAGUAGAACGCAGUUGCGAAAGGGUGAGUAACGAUUAGGUAACUGCCUAUUAGAGGGGGAUAACUAUUGGAACAGAUAGCUAAUACCGCAUACUAGUGAAUGGAACUGCGUUGUAUGAGCUAGUAGGUAGGGUAAUGGCCUACAUAGGCUACGAUACAUAGCCGACCUGAGAGGGUGAUCUGCCAAACUGGGACUGAGACACGGCCCAGACUCCGACGGGAGGCAUCAGUAGGGAAUCGUCGGCAAUGGGGGGAACCCUGACCGAGCAACGCCGCGUGAGUGAAGAAGGUUUUCGGAUCGUAAAGCUCUGUUGUUAAGGAAGCGGUACUUAACCAGAAAGGGACGGCUAACUACGUGCCAGCCGCCGCUGUAAUUC